UAUGCCCCUGCCUGGCUCCCUGAAUGCCAACUACGAAGGCUUUGCUAAAAGUUCUUAUUCGCAUCCUUCUUAAUUGGCAUCACGGGAGUCAUGCAGGCACCUUUA